rnacentral:lncRNA from 1 species
GCCGGGCAUGGUGGCUCAUGCCUGCAAUCCCAGCACUUUGGGAGGCCUAGGCGGGUGGAUCACUUGAGCUCAGGAGUUUGGGACCAGCCUGGGCAACAUAGCAAGACCUCAUCUCUACUAAAAAAUAAUAAAAAUAAAAAAUUAUCCAGGCAUGGUGGCACACACCUGUGGUGCCCAGGCUAAGGCAGGAGGAGUGCCUGGCUAAUUACGUUUUUCUAAAAAAUUGAGACAGAGUCUCACUGUGUUGCCCAGGCUGGUCUUGAACUCCUGGGCUCAAGUGAUCCUCCUGC